GUAAUGCCAGUUGCCAUAUUUUUCUGUAUGUCACUCAUUCGCUUAUACAAAAAGUACCAAUUUGUACACUAGUCUAGUGGAUUUUUUCCCUCUAUCUCUCUAUGUCUCUUACACACAGAGACUAACACAGACAUGUAUAUGCUCAUUAUUGCUGUUCAAACUGAUGUUCAAAUUUCCAAGCACCACCUGAACGCCUCAUUUAUUUUUAACCCAUCACUGGACCAACUGUCAUCAUUCCGCUUUGCUCUCUGCUGUGGAACUUGACUGACAUCUGUGCUUUGCCUGUGUGCAGAAGAACAAGGACCAGAUCUCCAGUCUUCUCUGUCACAUCCCAACCCCC
ensembl:lncRNA